ensembl:snoRNA
GCAUGGUAAUGGAUUUAUGGCAGGUCCUCCUCUGUGGGCCUCUCAUAGUGUACCCAUGCCAGAGUAAACUGCAGCCUUGAACCAUUGCCCGGCUUCCUUGUCCGUGGGCUGUGAGCACUGAAGAAGGUUGCACAGUU